rnacentral:rRNA from 1 species
UACGUAGGUGGCAAGCGUUGUCCGGAUUUACUGGGCGUAAAGAGCGCGCAGGCGGUCGUUCAAGUCGCGUGUGAAAGCCCCCGGCUCAACUGGGGAGGGUCACGCGAUACUGAUCGACUCGAAGGCAGGAGAGGGAUGCAGAAUUCCAGGUGUAGCGGUGAAAUGCGUAGAUAUCUGGAGGAAUACCGGUGGCGAAGGCGGCAUCCUGGACCGACAUUGACGCUGAACGGCGAAAGCUAGGGGAGCAAACGGG